UCCUUUGGCCUUAAUAAUAGCUUUUGGAUCUCCCUAAAGUGUUCAUACACUUUGCAUGGUAACUGAUUUGUUGGUAACUGAUUUGUGGCUAAAUGAUUCAGAACUGAUAAUGGGUUAUAGGUUGUACUUCUAGGUGAGUGACUAGAAUCUAGAAUCUCUCGCUAUGAGGGAAAGUUAUUUUUGCUUAAUGAGUGCUGAUUAGUUCCCAUGAGGUAAAGGUGGACUUACUCCAAUACCCAGUUCUUCCACCUGUUGGCAUUAUUGGUCCUAAUUAGCUUCUUCCACAAGGAUGUCAAAUAAUCAACGGUGAAAUGAUUGAAAUACCUUUUGACACCCACAUCUGGUUCUUCCAGACUGGGAUAAUCUGCAUUUUCCAUUGACCCCACAUUGAAAUACUAAAUAUUCUAUCUUGAAGAAGGCUUCAAGAAGGUGAUUUAUGUGGCAGCACACCAAAACUUAUUUAGCUCGUAAAAUGUCUCUUCUAAAUUUUAAAAAGCAAUCAUUGUUACAAUGUGAAACAAAAUACUCUUGUACCUCAAAUUCCAUUGUACCAUUCUUAUUUUCAUGAGGCAGAUAUUAAUAUAUUCUCAUUUACAGAUGAGAAAACUGAAAUGUGGGAAAGUUAAGGAGUAUGUUGAAAUUAUAUGUUAUGCUAUUGCUUAAAGCAUGAGAAAUGUAGAAAUGCAGAUAACCAAACUGUGUGUGUGUGAUCUUAGAUUAGAUCUUCGAUUGUAGUAUUGUGACUGCAUUAAAAAAGAGUCACUCUUCUGGACUUAGGUCAAAUCUGUUGUGAAGAGUAAUUAUUUAAGCAAGCAAUUUCUGUACAUGAAAUGUGAUUUUUACAAUGUAAUCCAGAUGACUUGAGUAGUAAGAAGAGACAAUAACCCAGGGACACAGCUUUUUCUUUUGUUUUGUUUUGGCAUUUCUGUUGGUAGAGGGUAGCUCUCCCUCAUUAUUGACAUCUGUUUUAGGAAUCCCUCAGGAGGAAUCCCAACUUAUCCCGAAACAAAAGAAUGAAAUGCAAGCUUUCUGCAGACCAAGUAUUUUGCAAUUUUUGCAUGCUCUAUUUUCUUCAGCUGAUGAACCACUUCUGACAAAGCUUUCUCACUGUCCGGAUAUAAUCUGCUAAUACCACUGGGAUCUACACUCACAAGUAUCCUCUUCCUCCAUAAAAGUUUAAGCCACUAAUUCUUUUUGAUGUCUGUUGGGAAACUCUUCCUUUUCCUUGUAGUAUUGUGAUUGCCAAAGAUUUGAAUGUGGCAACCAGACCACUGACAGAGCGUCUUGAAUGCAGGGCCAAUUAGAGGGAAGCACUAGAUGAAGCCACUGAACCAUUAGGAGGCUUGCAAAGAUCCCCUAACACUCUUUUCAUCUAUAAGAGAGCUGUGGUUGGAAAUACACAGAUGGAGUUGUCCUUAGGGAUGUGCUCUUCACGCAUGUGGUUCUGUUGAAGCAUUUUGCAAGUAGAAGACAACGUUUUGUAAUAUUUCACAGACCGUACAUCAUACAGAGGCACAUUGGUCAUCUAUUAUUAAUAUGUUUGUUUGGCCCAACCAAAAGGGUCUUUCUACACACUUUUUAACUCCUUCCCUACUAAUGAUACAUUUAUUGUAGGGCAGAGGUUUUGAUUAAAGAUAUAAGUAAUAUGAUUUUUUAGCUCAGUUUUUCUUUCAACACAACACAAAGUAAAACAUAUUAAUUUUCCUUAUUGAUGAAAAACUGGUUUGGCAUUUGCAAAACUCUGCAUGAAUUCUAAUUCCAAAUGCUUGAUUUUUGUCCCACUAUAUUUAGGAAAUAAUAUUGUUUUCACAUUUAGAGGACCACAUCAAGGCUAAAAAGAUAAUAUCAUUUAAACAUAUUUUAACAUGUUUAAACUAUGUAUUUUUAUAUUUUUAGUUAUCAGAAAAUUUAAUUUGUUUCCAAAAUGCUGGUUAAUUUUCAUUCCACCAAAUAAAGGUUUAAAAUGCUCUUAGGAUAAUGGUAGUCAAAACUCUUAUAAAAAUAGAAAUGUACUUCUUUAGUCAAUAUGUAGUUUGCUUUGUAUUAAUUAAAGAGGUAAUCUGAAAUGUACAUUUGGAUUAAGUGCCAACUGUAAUGUCUAUGUACUUUUCAUGGCCCAAAAUGAAAGGAAAAACACUGGAGAACUGUUAUCCCACAGGCAUCAGAAUUACACUGAUGGGCCAUCAGCUGCUUUGCAGCCAUGCUUUUCUCCAAGGUGCUCCAGUGAUACUGCAGGCUGACCUCAUGAAUGGAUGGGUGAAGAAUCACAACUAGAUGACAGGACUAGCAUUCUAGGAGCAAUAUUUAAUGUGACAUAACUUAAUCCAAGUUGGUAUAUAAUUAUGAUAGUAGUCAAAAAUCAGAUGACAUUAGAAAUAGAUGUAACUGAAAAGACAGUGUAGUAAACCAUUGCAAACUUAAUAAUCUUCAUCUGUAGACCUAAGGAAUAAAAUCAUUGAAUAUUUUUGGACUUAUUUUCCAUUCAAGUAUAGAGGAAAUGGUGCUUUGGGCAGGACUACGUUACAUAUUUAUAUAUGAACGUCGAUACAUGCAAUGAUGCCAAUUUACAAGAAAGUCCUGAGUAUGAAGAUCUAAACAGUAAUAAACUACAGACAAAAGAAUCAGAAACACAAUGUUUUCUUAAGCAGUAAAUAUUGGAAUGCCUAAAUAUAGGCUAAUUGCUAAAUAUAUGUAGCAAUCCACUGAACAUUGGUCAGAUACAUUUAAACAAAGGAAUAUGAUAGUUUCAUAUUUCUCAUAGUGAAGUAUUUUCAAAACUAUACAGUCAAACUUAAAGAGAAAGCUAAUUUGGAAAUGGUUCACAAGGAAAAAUGAGGAAAUUCAUAUUGCUUAGCCUAAUGGUGGAUUAUUCGCCUCCUAAGGAGCUGUCUCAGAAUGUUGAAAGGAAUAUAUUCCCUGCUGGCCACCUGCUUCUGCCCUGUUUUCUCCAUCCCUGGUGUCAUUGUCCCACUUGGCAUGUUCUGACCCACCCUAAUUCCUGAGCCAAUAUUGGCGAAGUCAAGAUAGUAUGUAUAUUAUCUUCAGCUCUGCAGUUGGUAUCCAUUAAAACAUUAAUUAAAUACUUAAACUUCUCUGUUUUAGAAGUGGGAAGAAUAACAAGGUAACAAUAUUGUAAGAUGGCUGACUAGAGAAACUUGGGCACCUUCCUUGUUACUCCUUCCCCACUUGGUUCUCAAGCUUCCUUAGUGGUUCCCAAGGCUUGGUACCUGCUAACUAGUGAUUCUACGCUAUGUUAUUGGUCUAGGCCUAUGUAAUAAAAUGCAGUUGGAGUUUACCUGGCACCGAAGUUAGUUACAGCUGCUGCUUGUGUUCUGUGUCAAGCUCUUACUACUGAGAAAGAUACAGGCACAGAGGCUUCUAUUCCAAUUUUUAUGAUACAGCAUCCUCACCCUGCAGACCCCAGCUGCAGCUUGAUGUGUCCAGCUGUCCAUUGUGAUGGUAAAAUUACAACAUCACAGUGCAUGUGCCACUGCUCCUGGGACUGUAGCUUGGCUGUGUCACACCAUGAAUCUUUCUCACUAGCUGCAUGUUUUGUGAGUUCGACACUCUUGUGGAGACUCUUGGAGGUCACCUGGAGCAAUGUUUUAUGAUCUGGCCUUCUUCCAUCCAUAUGGCUGAGAAAGGAGCCAGGUAAUAUUUCCAACAUGGCCGCUUUCUUGACCUAAGAAAAGAGUGAUAUCAGAAGCAUACAGCUUAUGGCAGCACGUCAUGGAUAAAACAGGUGCAAGUCUAUUCUAGCUAAUACAUGGCGCAUAGCAAAUUUUAAAAGGCUAUGAAAAUAAGCUUGGGGACACUCAACUUCAGUACUCAAAUACGUAGAUUUUAUUAUCACAUUUCUGAAAAUGUAUUACCUAUUAAACUAUGUGGAUCCACCUUAAGGUGUAAGAUCUAUAAGCCAUCAAGUGGAUUGGAAGGGCCAGGAAGACCAGAGGCCCAGAAUGACUUCAAGAAACAGCAUAUAAAAGAGCAUUGGCACAAUAUGGAGAACCAGCUGAAAAAUUUGGAAUUUGUAUGUACUGAGCCAUGUGAAGAUUGCUACCCAGUACUAAUUGUUUCCAAAAGAUGGGUUAUAAUUAGCAUUUA